UACGUAGGGGGCUAGCGUUAUCCGAAUUUACUGGGCGUAAAGGGUGCGUAGGUGGUUUCUUAAGUCAGAGGUGAAAGGCUACGGCUCAACCGUAGUAAGCCUUUGAAACUGGGAAACUUGAGUGCAGGAGAGGAGAGUGGAAUUCCUAGUGUAGCGGUGAAAUGCGUAGAGAUUAGGAAGAACACCAGUGGCGAAGGCGAUUCUCUGGACUGUAACUGACGCUGAGGCUCGAAAGCGUGGGGAGCAAACAGGAUUAGAUACCCUGGUAGUCCCUGAG
rnacentral:rRNA from 1 species